UCUCCGUUGGUGAACCAGCGGAGGGAUCAUUACCGAGUUUACAACUCCCAAACCCCAUGUGAACCUUACCAAACGUUGCUUCGGCGGGAUGCCCCGGGCGCGGGCCGCAAGGCCUCAGCACCGGAACCAGGCGCCCGCCGGAGGCCCAAACCAAACUCUUGUUUUUGUAGAAUCUUCUGAGUGGCCUUUUAGGCAAAAAAUGAAUCAAAACUUUCAACAACGGAUCUCUUGGUUCUG
rnacentral:misc_RNA from 1 species